rnacentral:rRNA from 1 species
AACGAACGCUGGCGGCAUGCCUAACACAUGCAAGUCGAACGAGACCUUCGGGUCUAGUGGCGCACGGGUGCGUACCGCGUGGGAACCUGCCCUUAGGUUCGGAAUAACUCACCGAAAGGGGUGCUAAUACCGGAUAAUGUCUUCGGACCAAACAUUUAUCGCCUUUGGAUGGGCCCGCGUUGGAUUAGCUAGUUGGUAGGGUAAAAGCCUACCAAGGCGACGAUCCAUAGCUGGUCUGAGAGGAUGAUCAGCCACACUGGGACUGAGACACGGCCCAGACUCCUACGGGAGGCAGCAGUGGGGAAUAUUGGACAAUGGGCGAAAGCCUGAUACAGCAAUGCCGCGUGAGUGAUGAAGGCCUUAGGGUUGUAAAGCUCUUUUACCCGGGAUGAUAAUGACAGUACCGGGAGAAUAAGCGCCGGCUAACUCCGUG